ACAAUAAUUUUUCAUACAUAUCAUUUUCAUGAUACUACUGGCUUUGUUUAAUAUUUUUCAUAAGUAUAGUAUUGUAUAUUUUUCAAAGUAAUUUAUCAAUUAUGAGAGAAUGUAUUGAAAUAUGUUGUUAAUUUUUAAAAUUUUUGUUUAUUACCUACUGUGACUCCGGUGUAAACAAAAUGGUGUAACUUUUGAACUAAAUCAUGUAUCGCGUUUAAACAAAUUGCAUAACGAUUGGAAGUAAUUAGGCGUCCUCAUAAAAUGUAAAAGUGGGAAAAACCUCCCCUCAAUUGAAAAUAAACAUGUUUUUUUUAGCAUAAA